rnacentral:rRNA from 1 species
GAUGAACGCUGGCGGCGUGCCUAAUACAUGCAAGUCGAGCGAACAGACGAGGAGCUUGCUCCUCUGACGUUAGCGGCGGACGGGUGAGUAACACGUGGAUAACCUACCUAUAAGACUGGGUUAACUUCGGGAAACCGGAGCUAAUACCGGAUAACAUGUUGAACCGCAUGGUUCAACUGUGAAAGACGGUCUUGCUGUCACUUAUAGAUGGAUCCGCGCCGCAUUAGCUAGUUGGUAAGGUAACGGCUUACCAAGGCAACGAUGCGUAGCCGACCUGAGAGGGUGAUCGGCCACACUGGAACUGAGACACGGUCCAGACUCCUACGGGAGGCAGCAGUAGGGAAUCGUCCGCCAUGGGCGAAAGCCUGACGGAGCAACGCCGCGUGAGUGAUGAAGGUCUUCGGAUCGUAAAACUCUGUUAUUAGGGAAGAACAAAUGUGUAAGUAACUAUGCACGUCUUGACGGUACCUAAUCAGAAAGCCACGGCUAACUACGUG